rnacentral:lncRNA from 1 species
UUUGAUCUGAUUUUCAUUCUCUAAGUUGAAGUCUUGCACUUCAUACCUGAGAAUAAAUUGGAUCAAACCUCCUUGGACCUUUUGUAAGUCCUCUUUCGUUCUUUUAUGCAUUUUUAGCAUGAAAGUCAAACUUUGUUUGACUUUCUGUUUUGACCAGUUUAUGGUUAACAUGAAGUUCGUUUGAACUUCAUAACGUGAGCAUAAUCACGAUGGUUUUAGUCUCUAGUGACUAUACCUACUGAUUACCACGUUAUCUAGGUGUAGUGACGAGUCGUAGUUUCGGCCAAAAUGCGUAUUCUUGCGUAUUUUGUAACCAAACUACUUUUAGGUAUCAAAACCGUUUGUUUUGAUACCAAACUUGUUUUCUAACUUCGUUAAACAUGUUUUAACAUGUUUAGCUCGUCACUUUAGGUUUAGUGCUUAUGUAGAGUCGUAAGUCAAGCUGUCUAAACAACCGCUUAGACUUUCAAACUAGACCCGUUUGGUCGAUCAUUAGGAUCCGACCAAACAUGUUUAGCGACUAUAGUCGUAUAGGGAAUAACCUUCCGAGGUUAUACCUUAUGGUCACUUCGUUUAAGUAGUUGUAUGAUAGGUAGUUUAUAUGCCUUAGGAAAAUGACCAAAAUGCCUUUUUUGUGCAUAAUUGAUAUUUAAGCAUAUGUAACCCAAACUUUUGUCACUUAACUGAUUAUGCAACAUAAUUAAACAUGUUUAGGCAUAUAAUACUUGUCAUAGGACUAGUUAGGCAGUCCGAACGCGUUUUACGUGAACGACACGUUAAAGUAGCGCAAGCUACCUAAACGGGUCGUAAUGGGUCGUAAGCACUUAGGUUAGGCUUCAUUUUAGUAUGUAGGCUUUGUUCAACCAUAUCAUAUGAGUCCCCACACUCAUUUGGUAUACGAGACCUCAUCCUAUCCGAUCUUCCAAUAUAGGUCCGGUUUAUUUAUGUAGUUACCUAUAUUAGGUGCCGUUUGAUUCUGUGCUCCAUCUAGCUUGCUUGGUAGUUGUUCAAGACUUCUAAGCACCCUCAAGUGAGUACAUAGUCCCCUAUUUUACUGUUUUCAAAUGUUUUGGGGUGAAAUAUGUGUACCUAUUUGUUAUGUUCAUGAUUUCAAAGUAUAAUUUAUUAUACGUAUUAGUACUUAUCUUUUAACAAACUGAAUGAUUAUUUAUGGUUUAAACACAAAUUUUUCCAUAGAUUAUAAAAUUAAAUUGUUGGAUAGUACUUAUUUUAAGUUCACCAGACCAGUUGGUAGUAUGAUAUAGCGCUAUAGGAUUUGACACCCCAUUUCUGUUGUCAUGGAAUGUCUGAAACCAAUUUAUUUUUAUCCAAAUAGGGAUUGCCUUUGUGGUAUUACUAUAGUCUCAAAGUUAUACUCCCAGAAGUAUAGUUUGAUAUGCUCUCAUAUGUGAUAUUGUACAAAACCAACAUAUAUUUAUAAAACCAAAACAUAUUUUAAUAUGUUAUUUAUAAAACCAAAACCUAGUUUAAUAUGUUACUUAUAAAACUAAAACAUAGUUUAAUAUGUUAUUUAUAUAACUAAAACAUAGUUUAAUAUGUUAUUUAUAAAACCAAAACAUAGUUUAAUAUGUUAUUUAUAAAACCAAAACAUACUUUAAUAUGUUCUUUAUAAAACCAAAACAUAUUUUGAUAUGUUAUUUAUAAAACCAAAACAUAAUUUAAUAUGUUAUUAAUAAAACCAAAGUAUACUUUUGAUAUACUACUGAAAAUUUAUUAUUUUACCGACUAAAGUAUAUAUAUUUAAUAUACUAUUUGUUUAACGAUGGGUUUUUGGUUAGUGUUUAGAUAACGGGACGGGUGUAUUGUGAUGAAAACAUGGUAGAUACGCCGCUGGUACUUCUUAUAUAUAAGUGUUUUCAUCACAUUACAUACCGUGACGUUAUUUAGUACACUUGGGUAAGCGAUUUUGAAACUGAAAUAUAUUUUGAUAUAUUACUUAUUCGAUUUUCUUAGAACCAAAGUAUAUUUUUAUAUAUACUAUAAACCUUUUUAUCAAAAUAUUGUUUUAUAAACAAUAUAUUUUAUACAAAUUCAUUUUAUUUAGUUAUUUAAUUACCUAUGUAUUAUUAUUUUAUAUCAUCUGAUUUCUUAUAAAUUCUAGUAUGAUUUAUAAAAGAAAAUAUUUUAAGGUUCAUGACCGUUUUUGAUAAAAAAAUUAUUUUAAACCUAUAAGUCAUGAAUCCUAAUUAUAACAAAACCUAUGUAUCUCACAGGCAUUUUUAUGCUGACGUACCUAUUUUUACACAUGUUUCAGGUCCUGCUUUGUGAUGAUUGUUGAUACAUGCUACACUUAGGAUUGACUCGUGCCUUAGCGACUUUAAAACUUGAGAGAUAAUAUUUGUAUUAAUCUGUUUUGUAAUAGAACAAAGAGUUCAAUGAUUCAUUAAAACGA